GCGGGCCACACCUCCCCAACGAGGUGCGACCUUUCUGAGAGGAAAGGA
rnacentral:ncRNA from 1 species